UACAGAGGUGGCAAGCGUUGUUCGGAAUUACUGGGCGUAAAGGGCGCGUAGGCGGCCAUCUAAGUCAGACGUGAAAUCCCCAGGCUCAACCUGGGAACUGCGUCUGAUACUGGGAGGCUAGAGUUUGGGAGAGGGAUGUAGAAUUCCAGGUGUAGCGGUGAAAUGCGUAGAUAUCUGGAGGAAUACCGGUGGCGAAGGCGGCAUCCUGGACCAAUACUGACGCUGAGGCGCGAAAGCUAGGGGAGCAAAC
rnacentral:rRNA from 1 species